UACGUAGGUGGCAAGCGUUGUCCGGAAUUACUGGGUGUAAAGGGCGUGUAGGCGGGGAGACAAGUCAGAUGUGAAAUACCGUGGCUUAACUGCGGGGGUGCAUCUGAAACUGUUUCUCUUGAGUGUCGGAGAGGAAAGUGGAAUUCCCAGUGUAGCGGUGAAAUGCGUAGAUAUCAGGAGGAACACCAAUGGCGAAGGCAGGUCUCUGGGCAGUUACUGACGCUGAGGAGCGAAAGCAUGGGUAGCGAACAGGAUUAGAUA
rnacentral:rRNA from 1 species